rnacentral:rRNA from 1 species
AUUAAACGCUGGCGGCAUGCCUUACACAUGCAAGUCGAACGGUAGCGCGGGGCAACCUGGCGACGAGUGGCGAACGGGUGAGUAAAGCAUCGGAACGUGCCCUGGAAUGGGGGAUAACGUAGCGAAAGUUACGCUAAUACCGCAUAUUCUGUGAGCAGGAAAGCAGGGGAUCGCAAGACCUUGCGUUCUGGGAGCGGCCGAUGUCGGAUUAGCUAGUUGGUGGGGUAAAAGCCUACCAAGGCGACGAUCCGUAGCGGGUCUGAGGGGAUGAUCCGCCACACUGGGACUGAGACACGGCCCAGACUCCUACGGGAGGCAGCAGUGGGGAAUUUUGGACAAUGGGCGGAAGCCUGAUCCAGCCAUGCCGCGUGAGUGAAGAAGGCC